AGCCAGCUGAACGGCCGCAUCGAUUCUUCGAUGAGGAAAGUCCGAGCAUCACAGGGCAGAGUGACGGAUAACGUCCGCUGAAGGUGACUUUAAGGAUAGUGCAACAGAAAUAUACCGCAGCCCUCUACGGGCUGUAAGGGUGGAAAGGUGCGGUAAGAGCGCACCGGCAGUUCGGCAACGAAAUUGACCGUGUAAACCCCACUUGAUGCAAGAGAGAAACAGAUAGUUUGCCCGACUUGUUUCAAAAUCGCUUGAGCGUUUCGGUAACGAUCCGCCUAGACAGAUGGCCGUUCCAGACAGAACUCGGCUUACAGGCUGACUCAU
rnacentral:RNase_P_RNA from 1 species